rnacentral:pre_miRNA from 1 species
GGGGGGAAGGCCGGAUCCUGGGCUGUGUCCCCAGUGCCCUGUGCUCCUGGGCCUGCGCUGUUGGAUUCGCACUCCAGGCCUCGCAGCUCCUU